ensembl:lncRNA novel transcript
ACCUCCCCGGAAGCUGAGGGAGCCGGCUCCGGCCUUGGCCAGCCCAGCAAGGCGCUCCCACAGUGCAACGGCGGGCUGAAGGGGCUCCUCAAGUGCCGCCAAAGCGGGAGCCCAGGCAGAGGAGACGCCCAGAGCCAGCGAGGGCUGUGAGGACUGCCAGCACACUGUCACCUCUCAGUAACAUGUUGUAGAGGCUGGGAAGUCCAAGGUCAUGGUGCCAACAGACUUGGUGUCUGGAGAGGGCUGCUCUCUGCUUCCAACAUGGUGUCUUCUCGCAGUGUCAUGUCCUCCUGACGGAAGGAAUGCUGUGUCUCACAUGGUGACAGGAAUUGAAGGACAAAAAUGGCUGAACACUUUGUGAAGCCUCAUUUAUAAAUGUCUUAAUCUCAUUCGUGAGGACUCUACCCUCAUGAAAACUUAAUCACUUCCUAAAGGACUUGCCUCUUAAUACUAUCACAUUAUCAAUUAAGUUUCAACACAUGACUUGAGGGACAUUCAGACCAUAGUACUUCCCUAGUUAGGAGACUAAACAAAGACAGGAGCAAGAAGAGGAGUCUCAUUUGCAGAAGAAAUGUCUGUUUCUCACUUGGCAUUGCAUAAGACUUAUCUGAGAGUGCCCAAUGUCACACAUCUAUGGUAAGAAGAGAAGAUACUGAUCAGAAGGGCCUGGAGGCUUUAUGAAGCAACAGUCUGAAAAGUCCUUGCAGGAAAUAGGCAAGGCUAUCCUGGAAGGACUCCUAGAUACAUGGCCUGGAUACAGCAAGAGGUGAAUGUCCUGGGUGCCUACAGCAGAGGCACACUUGGUAGUGUAGGCCUGCUAUCAACCCUACACCCUUGAAUCCUACAGACCAUUGGCAUGACAGCAGACAGAUCACUGGCAGGCAAGAUUUGAUGGAAGAACCAUGUAUCCGCCGCAAACGCAAGACUCAUCCGAGGAGCACUAGUAGCCUAGAGCCCUGAAUUCAUCCUGUGCCUGAUGUGAAAGUCACCCAAAAUCAACAUUUCUGUACCAUUCUGGUGGCCCAAUCUCAUAUAAUCACUUGAAAGGAAUAGCACACUGACUAAUCAAAGCCAUCAGCUCAUCAGCCACUGUUCCGGAAUCGAGGUCCACCCAUGGACUCCCAGAAGAACCCCUUAAGUAUUAGUACUGGAACUCCUCUAUGCACUUGAUCCACAUAAAGUACGUGUGUGUGGGCAGGGAGGGCUUGUAGAGGAUCAGAAAGUGCCUUACAGGAGAGAAACAGAGACCAAGACUAGGGAACCCUUUCUGCUGGAGGGGCAUCUAGACAUUUUGAAGAAACACACGAAAGAAUAGAGCCCCUGAGGUCACAUCCAGAUUUCAGUUUCUCUUCGGGAGUCUAAGAGACUGUUGUGAGCCCAGAUUUUCACAUUUUCUUCCUCUGGCUGAAAUGGUUGGAUUUAGACAGUGUGGAGGCAAACUUACUGUAUGGAUUAAUAACUUUUGUGCAAGUAACAGAUAUUUGUCUAGCCUUCCUUAAGUCAAAUAAGAAUGUAUCAUAAGAGUGUAGAGAUAUCUAAUAAAAAUCCAAGGGCAGAAA